AUUGAACGCUGGCGGCAGGCUUAACACAUGCAAGUCGAGCGGAGAUGAGGUGCUUGCACCUUAUCUUAGCGGCGGACGGGUGAGUAAUGCUUAGGAAUCUGCCUAUUAGUGGGGGACAACAUUCCGAAAGGAAUGCUAAUACCGCAUACGCCCUACGAGGGAAAGCAGGGGAUCUUCGUACCUUGCGCUAAUAGAUGAGCCUAAGUCGGAUUAACUAGUUGGUGGGGUAACGGCCUACCAAGGCGACGAUCUGUAGCGGGUCUGAGAGGAUGAUCCGCCACACUGGGACUGAGACACGGCCCAGACUCCUACGGGAGGCAGCAGUGGGGAAUAUUGGACAAUGGGCGGAAGCCUGAUCCAGCCAUGCCGCGUGUGUGAAGAAGGCCUUUUGGUUGUAAAGCACUUUAAGCGAGGAGGAGGCUACCUGGAUUAAUACUCUAGGAUAGUGGACGUUACUCGCAGAAUAAGCACCGGCUAACUCUGUGCCAGCCGCCGCGGUAAUAC
rnacentral:rRNA from 1 species